CAACCUUUAUAUAUAUUAUGUAUUAUCAUCAAAUACAACUUACAUUUCAAUAUUAUGAAUGAACACGAAUGCGGCCACUUUCAUUUCAGACGGAAACCGUCUAAAAUUUAACUAAAAUGCUACAAUUGUGAAUAUUUCAGUAAUUUAGCAUGACUUAAUGAUGCUAGUACCCGAUAUAUGUGCAUUGUUUUGUCAAAAACAGCCC
rnacentral:lncRNA from 1 species